rnacentral:lncRNA from 1 species
AGUAGAUUAACUAGUUUAAGAACUCUGUUUCUCUUUUCCAAUCAAUUUUCUGGUCCUAUUCCUCUUAAGUUGGGGAAGUUGACAUCACUCCAGGACCUAGCAUUGAGCACAAACAAUCUCACAGGUCAAAUUCCAUCUUCAUUGAGUGGAUUAACUAGUUUAAAAACCCUGUGUCUCCAUUCUAAUCAAUUUUUUGGUCUCAUUCCUCCUGAGUUGGGAAAGUUGACAUCGCUCCAAUACCUAGAAUUGAACACAAAUCAUCUGACGGGUCAAAUUCCAGCUUCGUUGAGUGGAUUAACUAGUUUGAGAACCCUGUAUCUCUAUAGGAAUCAACUUUCUGGUCCUAUUCCUCCUGAGUUGGGGAAGUUGACAUCACUCCAGGACCUAGAAUGAGAACCCUGUAUCUCCAUAAGAAUCAACUUUCUGGUCCUAUUCCUCCUGAGUUGGGGAAGUUGACAUCACUCCAGGACCUAGAAUUGAGCACAAACAAUCUCACGGGUCAAAUUCCAUCUUCGUUGAGUGGAUUAACUAGUUUGAGAACCCUGUAUCUCUAUAUGAAUCAACUUUCUGGUCCUAUUCCUCCUGAGUUGGGGAAGUUGACAUCACUCCAGGACCUAGAAUUGAGCACAAACAAUCUCACGGGUCAAAUUCCAUCUUCGUUGAGUGGAUUAACUAGUUUAAAAACCUUGUAUCUCCAUACGAAUCAACUUUCUGGUCCGAUUCCUCCUGAGUUGGGAAAGUUAACAUCACUCCAGGACCUAGAAUUGGACGAAAAUAAUCUCACAGGUGAAAUCCCAAUUUCAUUAGGGGACCUCAGCCAUUUAAAACAUUUUAGUCUAUCACAAAACCAAC